UCUAAUAUGGCAGAAUAGUGCAAUGAAUUUAAGCUUCAUAUAUAAAGAUAAAGUCUUUUAUUAGAA
rnacentral:tRNA from 2 species